CUUGACCAAGUAUAAGAGGUCCAGCCUGCCCAGUGAUAAAAUUCAACGGCCGCGGUACCCUAACCGUGCGAAGGUAGCAUAAUCACUUGUUCUCUAAAUAGGGACUAGUAUCAACGGCACCACGAGGGCUGUACUGUCUCCUUUCUCCCAUCAGUGAAACUGAUCUCCCCGUGAAAAAGCGGGGAUUGUUAUAUAAGACGAGAAGACCCCAUGGAGCUUUAAACUCAUCACCCACUUCCUCACUUCCAUACCCAACUAUAUAAGGAACCUGUGUGACAGUUUUGGGUUGGGGGGACCACGGAGUACAAUUUAACCUCCAUGACAAAUAGGCUACGCCCUUAUCUACGAACUACAACUCUAAGAAUCAUAAGCUGAUGUUUAAUGACCCGAUAAUUCGAUCAACGAACCA
rnacentral:rRNA from 1 species